AUACGGAGGGUGCAAGCGUUACUCGGAAUCACUGGGCGUAAAGCGCGCGUAGGCGGUCUAUUAAGUCAGAUGUGAAAUCCCAGGGCUCAACCUUGGAACUGCAUCUGAUACUGGUAGACUAGAGUUUUGGAGAGGGAAGUAGAAUUUCAGGUGUAGCGGUGAAAUGCAUAGAGAUCUGAAGGAAUACCAGUGGCGAAGGCGACUUCCUGGCCAAAAACUGACGCUGAGGUGCGAAAGCGUGGGUAGCAAACGGGAUUAGAUACCCUAGUAGUCC
rnacentral:rRNA from 1 species